UCGUGAGGCAUAAAUUAGGUGUGUUACAUUGUCACUGUCCUGUCCUGAAGAGGUUCAUAGUACUGAUCAGAUUUGAUGUAUGCACUAUACGAAUAUAAAUAUAUAUAUGCGCUAAUAUAUAUGUGAAUUGAACUUUGAUCUUUGAACUGUUUUAGUUUCAGAUGAUAUUGGGCGUCGCUUCACUAAAUCGGAUUUAUUGUACUCUUGGUAGAAAAUAUAAUAGGGACUACUUGGUCCUGAAAUCAUUUAUUUCGGCUUUUCAUCUCUGACUUUAGAUGGAUGUUGGCGGAUACAUAUGACCUCGAAAGUUAAAAACUUCCUUGAUCGAGAAGCAAAACUUCCUCGCGAUACGCGCUGGUAUUGAAUGUCUUUAGUCAAAUACCCACGGAAGGUUGUGUGUUGAUUUAUCGAUCGUCUCGUUCUGAUACUGUUCUAUUUUCACACGAUCGAAUCUUAUGGUGUUACCAAAAUUAUUUCCAAGCUAUAUCCAACGUGAAGGACGAGACGGUAAACGAAAAGAGGAAAGUAAUCUACAGUAGGAAUAUGUAGACUCAGAAAGAGUAAAAUUAAUCUCAAGGGAAAAAAAGAGAAGAAAUAGAGGGAAUCUAUCUAAGGUCAUAAGCUGCCAACAAAGAAAAGUCAAAACAAGAGAGGAAAGGCAACGUUACAUCGGGGGCAACAGAGCAGAAGCCGUACUCUUUCAAAUGGCAGUGAGCGUAUUAUCUUUCUCUAUCUUAUUGCGAUGCACGCCAGUCAUCGGUCACUUUAGCAGGCCCACGACCCUGCAUUGCGAAGCUCAAGACUAGAAGAAUUCACUGAGAAGUGGGAAAACGUGCAUCCGCCUACUCUUAUAAGACAAGACUACAACUAGGACUCCAUAGAUUCGACUUCAUCUGCUCUGCAACGUUGGUCUGUCCUUAACGUGAUGGGCGACUGGCAUUAACUAACUCUUAUCAUUUGAUUAUGAGUUGGAGAAAACUACUGACGUUCAAUAUAGCCAUCCUUUUCUGGCCAAAAGAAAAAU
rnacentral:lncRNA from 1 species